GGAGGGCUGUGGAGGGAGGGGGCAGGACGGGGAUGCAUGUGAUCGUCAGGCUUACCAGCCAGACAGACGGACAAGCGCUCCGCUCCGCCGGCGUUUGGCAGAUUACAAGUGGAUGCAUCAAAGCAGCGAAUAUCUCAGUGAAGUUUCUAGUCAUUGCAGUUAGCUGAGUGUCCCUGCAAGGGCCUCCUCACCAAGUGAUCUGAGUUAAAAGGCUACCACGUGAGCUUGUGUGUUGGUGGAAGUGGGGGAAGCUCAAACAUGCCUUUGGGGACACCCGAGCCAGGAGAGGCUUGGUGAGCAGUUUGUGGUCAGCCAUGAGGAUGUACCCAGCAGGACACAGCAAGGGACUUGAGGACCAGCAGCUUUGCUUGCACACCUCCACUUUUGCAGUGGCCACAGUCUCACGGCUCCAUUUCAUGGGAAAUCUCAGAAGAUUUGCAGUGGUUUUGGAAUGAGAUCAGUAGAUGACCUGCAAGGCUGGCAACCCAGGGAAUGGGACAUCUGCAGACCUGAACCUUGAGGCUGGCCUGAUAUUUAUAUUCAUCUGGGAAGAAAAGGCAUCGCAUGAGCCCAGGUCUAGGGAUGUGCUGUGCCUGGAAGAUGUAAAAUGACAGCUCUGCAAAGAAGACCAUUUUGAAGAGGGUAUUGACGAACACUUCAACUAUGAAUGAGAGCAAAGAGAGUAGCUCUCAGAAUGAUAUACACCACGGUCCAAAGUUGGAAAUCCCCCACCUUACCCAGGAGCACCCAGCAGCACUGACACGUACCAGAGGUCUGAAGCAGUACCUUUGCAGAAUGAAGCAUCCUACUGAUGCUUUGGCUGGACCAUAUCUUUUUUAAAAGUUAAGAUGCUUUCCUGGAUUUUCGCACACAGACCCAGCAGUGCUGUCUGAUAGUAAGGACUGCUAGGAGCUGAGGAUUAGUAAGAGAUAUGUAAUAAUGUCAAUUAAAAACAGUAUUUUGGAUGGAUUACUAGAAUCAGUCUAGUAUCAGUAAUCCCAAGUUAACUUUCAAAGACAUUUUUUAAUUUGGAUCUGUGUACAGUCCACUUAGAAGCAGCAAAAUAAUUCACAUUUGAUUCAUCUAGUUAAAAUUCUAGUUGGAUUUUCUUCCACAAGCAAUGGAUUAAACUGGAUUUCCUCUCAAUCACUUAGCAUGGAGAUCUAGUAUGAUAAAUUGCCCUUGAAAAUAAAACUGCGAGUCUCUUAUUAAUGGUAAAAAAGAACAUAUGCAGAGCGUGACUCUUUCUUAGCUGAAAAGGCACAGCAUUCAGUAGAUGAAAACCAAGAUUAUUAGAGGAGAAAGUUGAAUCGAUAAGUCUCAAGAUGCAGAAUGUGCACGGUUGUGGUGGAAGUUCUCUCCUCUUUCCCACUCAGAAGACCCCGAAGUUGGCACAGUGUUUCAGCUAGGUCACACACCGAGGUCAUUUGCAGACCUAUUGCUGUUGACAUCUGAAAAAUACUUGUUCGAUAUAAUAAGUAAGUAUAACUCCUCCCACUAAUGACUAGUACAUUGAUGACGAGCAGCACAAUUACAAUGAAGAAAAUGACAUUUGGAAGCAGUAUCAAACAGUACUUAACAACAAUGAAGCUAAACACGGGGUGGUUCUCAGAUAACCUGGGGAGACUUCAGAGUUAAAUAGAAACAAGACCAAAUCUAAACGAAGCAAUAAUGAGCUAGAAAAGGUGCUUCAUUAGAAAAGAAAACUGAAAAGCUGGCUGUGAUGCUUAUUAAGACAGAGACCAGUGGCAAAUUUCUGCAUGGAGUGAGAUUUCAGCAGGAAUGUAUCCCUUGGCUUGCACGUUUCCCUGGUUCCAACCAGUUUCAUAAACAGUUGGACAGUUUCAUAAACAAAUGGUCCAUUUUUAGUUUUAGCACAAUAGUUUGUGCAGCAGUUAGUUAUAGUAGCUAAUUAGCAUAACAGUUUGGAGCCAAAAAAAGAACAUCUUACAAACAGACUGAGAAAUGUAGUUUAAAUUUAGUAGGCAAAAUGCCAGAAAUAAGCAGAGAGGAACUGAUAGAAAAUGAACUUCCAGUGUGGCUGAAACAAAUAUUGGCUUCAAAUACUUUUAAACAGCAAGACCACAAAUUCAGCCAAACAGGUGGAAAACAUUUGGAUGCUCAUUCUCUCAGACAUUUCUGAUACUUUAAGAAAGGGAAGGGGGAUUUUAGUGGCUGAAAAUAUAACUCAGUAUUUAGGGUUGUGGUAUAAGGUUUAGUAAAGAAAAGAAACCAUUAUAGUGACCUUGCCAUGAAAAUUAUGCUGUUCAUAUUGCUGUGAAAUGGAGGAGAAACUCAAUAUGUUGGUAUAUCGUGCUCUGUUAUCCCAAAGUUUACAAGAGAAGAGCUCCCACACAAAAGUAAUUCAAUCAUUUUUAAUCUGCCAUUUAAAAAGCGGGGAGGGGAGGCUGUCAUUAGCCUCAUCUUUCAGCCCUAAGGUGCUGAGACCUCCAGCUGUGUUGUAGCCAUGUCAGCUGAGCUAUACUGCAGAACCGGGAAGGGUGGGGGGGCUGCUUUGUUUACCAUGACUACAUGUGCCACCCAAAUGACCAGGGUGCCAAGCCCACACUGGCAUGGGCAUGCUGCUGAGGUGCAGAAGGUCCAGCAAGAAAUUUAUUAAAAUUGUCCACUAACAUCAGGCCAGAAAAAAGGAGAGAUAUUUUUUAUUCCCUCAUCUAUAUUGACUAACCCAGAAUAUUUUGGAUCUUCGAAAAGCCUUCAGUCACGGAUACUCACGGCUGAUAGUUUUUUCUGUUAAGACAUUCUAUAUUUGGGUGUGAAAUUGCCAUAAAAUACUUUUUUGAUAUAUUGAAAGUACUCUGAUCUCCAUGCUGGCUGUAUAUUUUAUCCCACACACUGGGAUGAGGUAUGGAUAGGCUACGGGAAGGAGGCCAUGGGGUGUCUGACCCUUCACAGGGCAUCACUUGUGCUUGGCUGCAGGACCAACCACCAGCGCUGCAGAGACAAGGACCAGGAAAGGGUCAGAUACAUCUGUCCGGCUCCUGCCUGCUCCUGUCUCCUUAUCCUCCAGUCUGACCCGGCUGCCUGCUGGGGGCCAUGUUCAAGUGAAAGGUUGAAGUAUUCCACACUUCCCGUCAGAAAGCUCUUCUUACUCUCUGUCAGCUCUGCUUGCAGCUUAGCUCUACUCCCCCCACGGGAAACACAGAGCUAUAUCCUGCUUGGGACUCUUGGAAGUCUCCCUGAGUACCUACACGUCUUCGAAAAUCUUGAGAGUCAAAGACUCCAAGUGAGAAAAAAAAAAAUUUAGCACUAGACCUUGGACUUGUCAAUCACAAAUAUUUGUGGCUUCUUUCUGAUGAGCCAGCCUGGGCCAGCGGUUUCAAAAUCUCUUCUGACCCCAUAUGACAUCUCUACAAAUCUGAAGGGCUUAGACUGCCAAAGGACUCAGACCAUUGCUGGCACUGAACAACCCCAACCUACAUGCAAGGCAAUGGGUUUCCAACACACACAAAUCUCGUAGUCAUAAAGAAAUUAUAUUCCUGUUGACUUACAUGAUGCUGGGUUAACUCCUGACAAGGUGCUGAGGUGUACCCUCCAUCCACUCACACAACGUAAAACAUUCUGCAAAGGAACCGGUGACUGGGGCUGGAUACCAGGCAUCUUCAGGGAGAAGUUAUCACACCAGGCUUUCUGCUGCAAUAGGUAUAUGGGUAUAUAUAUAUGGUAUCUAUACCAAUAUACAGCCAUGGUAUCCCACUGCCCCUUUUUGAUUUCCAGUCUCCUAGCAGAGGGGACCCAGAAGGGUGCUACGACUCAGGCUCAGGUGCUGAACCGCAAAGGAUGCCCUCACAGAGCCAGCAACCCCCGAAGGACCCGCUCUGGGUCUGUAAAUGCCAUCCAUCACGGUUCCCUAAGCACAGAGGCAAGCAGCAAGCAUGCGCUUGGCAGCCACCCUCCGUUUUAGGGAGAGCUUUUGUCAGGGAGGUGAGGGCAAUUUUUUGCAGAUGGUUUUAUUUAUUUAUAUCUCAGCAGCCCUUUCUCGGCUUUAUUUAUAUUUAUUGCAGGGGUUCUGUUUGUGGUUCAGGGAUUGCACCGGCGCUGGGCUGGUACAUUAUAAUUAGUGCUGAUCGUUUUGCUUGUUGAACAAAUGACAACUGGCAGCCUUUGUGGUGUUUCCAUGUUGUAAGCACUUACCGCUGUGCCUCUCCGUGAUGAAACACAUGUCAGCUCCCAGCAGUGUAGGACCACCUGGAGCACAUUAGCAUCAGAGUGAUUUAACAACCUGAUCAGACCUUUUCCAAACAAAUGGCAUGUGGAGGAAGCAGGACAUGGAAACUUUACCCGGUUGUCCCAAGCAAGCACACUUCCAAGCAUUUCCCUGGUUUUUAGCCCUCCGUAACUUCCAGGUUCACUAGGUAGCUGUGUGGCAUACAGUGUAUCAGAGGCUCUGAAAGCUGCCAGAACUGCAAUCUUGCUGCCAGAAGAGCAAUUGUACCUGUCAAAUACUACCAGAGCUGAGCCAAAGAGGGGAGCAGCGUCUCACCCAUCGGCACGAGGAGUGGGUUGCUCA